rnacentral:tRNA from 1 species
UCCCUGGUGUUCUAGGGGCUAAGACUCUGCAUUCCUAAUGCAGGAGGUCGAGGUUCUAUCCCUGGUCAGGGAA